rnacentral:rRNA from 1 species
UUUAAAUUUGAGAGUUUGAUCCUGGCUCAGGACGAACGCUGGCGGCGCGCCUAACACAUGCAAGUCGAGCGAGAAGCUUUUUAUUG